CUUUGAAAACAGUAGAAAAUAUCCUUUUUAUUUUUCUCAGAUUGUCUUCUCAAGCUGGAAAUUGUAGAUUUUGACCAUUCUCACUGAGCUUACUCUGCUGGUAAACUAAUAGAGCCUUCUCUUCUCUGUUUUUCUUAGGGAUUAAUAUGGAAUGAUGAAUUGGUAGGGACAAUCACUUCUUCCACAAUGAUAUGCCUAAUUCACACCUCAUUGUGUAUAUAGAUAAUGGGCACAGAACGGGCAUGUAUAUAUAGUCUUGCUUUUUAUCUCUGGCAUGCAGGAGGAAUUGAUGGGGAGAGGGGUGCAGUAUUAUGAUUGUUUUACUCCACUGGUUUAUGGGAUCAUAGUGCAGAUAGUACUUUUUUAGAAAAAUUAAAUUUGCUUCACAAUAACCAUUUAAGGAAUUUAAAAAGGAAAAAUCUCAGAGCUCUAGAAACAUUUAUAAAAAGUUUUCUUUGUGACUUGCUGAAAUGCCAUUCUGUUGCCUUUUUUCUAUGCUAAGUUAAGAGGCUUGAAUGUCAUACAUGAUAACUCAACUUGUAGUAAACCUGGUAUUGGAAAUAGGAAGAGGGUUAUAUAAGUGACAUUCAGGUAUGCACAAUGUUAGUCAGUAGACCAUAGUGGCCUGGGUGCUUUAAAAAGCAACAUUGAGUAAAUUAUUUCCUUUCUUCUGUUACCAUUUGUAAAAUCAGACCUGGUUAAUCAUAUUUAAUUUUUUUCUUUUAUUACCAGUCUCUGGAAACCUACAAAGGUGUGGCAAUAAGUCACAUACUUUUUGUAUGCUUAUUUAAGUUUACUUGGAACAUUAAAAUUAAUUAACCAGGUCUGGCCAUGUAUAUAAAGCAGUGUAAAUAAAUAUGUGUAAAUUAGUGUGAAUUAUAACUUACACUUAUGAGCUUGUGUAUUUGCUUUUGUAGAAAUUUCUCUAUAAAUAAUCAAGCUCCUUAUCUCCUCACAUCCUUUUUGCUGCUGUUGUUUGUUAACCUGGCAUAUCUGAUGGCUCUGUUUAUACAGUGGGAAGAAAAGAGAGAUGAAACUUAAGAAAAAUUGUAAUAUGCUGUUACAUUAAGGGCAGUACUUAAUUUAUAGGUUUUAUUAACUUUAUUAGUUAGCACUUAGCCUUUGUUAAAGUAAAGAUUCCUGGAAGAUAGUGAUUUAAUUCAGUACAGUCUUAGGCAAAUAGAACUGCAUUUUUUUUUUUAGUUUUAAUUAUAUAUUAUAUAACAGUUGAUUGAAAACUUUUUUUUUUUUUUUUACCCCUUCUCUGUUUUGGAAGGAUUUAACUCUUACAUCAAGAGGAAAAUCUGAGUGUAAUAUUCAUAUCUCUUAAAAGAAAAUUUAAAUCUCUACAAAUAUAAACCAUCCAUCUUAAACUUCAUAAGUAUAUUCGUUCUAGCAUGGUAGCAGAGACUAAAAUGUUAAUCCAACUUUCUAACAUCAUUUGAAGUAUAUUACCUGAUUUAAAGAAAAAUUUCUCUUUCUAGAGUGUCAGGUAAAAUAGAAACCAUUCCAUUUAAAUUUUUACAUAGUUUUAUCCCUUUGGUUUCUUUUCAGCCCUUCUGUAAUUUAUAAAUCCUGACUUGUACAAAAUAUAAUUUGGUAGUCUUAAUUUCUAUUUACAACACUGCUUUUGGUAGCAUUUAAAUCUGUGGCUUUAGGACACAAGAGUUUAACCUAUUAAAUAUUUCCCAAAUUUUCAUUUGUUGGAAAAACUGAUUCAAUAAUUUCUUUGAAGAUGUCAGAAGAAAGGGUGAUGGUGGCAUUAAUUGUGAUUGCUUUAAACUAACAGGAAAUCCUAAUUUUUCCUCAAGGAAUCAAGAGCUAUAAGCAAACAAUUAUAAAAGUAGCCACAUCUUUUGUUAAAAAAUUGCUUUGUGGGAAUUAUGUACUGUAUUUCUCAUUUGCUUUCCAUUUUCUCUUAUGAUUACAAGUUAUCUAAUGUGAUUUGAGUAUGUGGAAGCCUAUGUCACAUUUUAUAACAAUUGGCAUGUUAUUAAGAAAUUAGAGUAGUGUUUGGCCAACCAUUUUCUAGUAUAUGUGAUUAGUCAUUUUAAAAAUUACUUUAUACAAGAUUAGAAUAUAUAUAAAUGUGUAUAUGUGUGUAUUGCAUAUAUCAUGUAAACUUGUGUCCAAUGCAAUAUUUUUUUUAUAAAAAACAUGAGGUUUUCCCAAUAUUUUAAGCUCAAAGACUCAAUUUGUUGCUGUCAAAUACUUUGAUUUACAUCACUAUUGGUUGCAAAUAGAAUUAGGGUUGCAGAGUUGUUAUGAAAGUAUUUUCUUCCAUCAUGUUUGACACGUAAAGAGUGAAAAUUUUUUUAAAAAUAUAUUUUUUCCUACAAAGUACUUGGAAGUGAAACCAAUAACAUGUAUUAAACAGAGGGCAAAGCAACCCUGAUGUUUCUAUUAAUUUAAGAACAUUUUAUUUUCAUUGAUCUUUUUAAAGGUAACUAAAUAUACUUGAGUCUUUAGAAUUCUCUGAAAGAAAAAUGAUGGAAUUGCAGAUUAGAAAAUGAUCUUGUAUAAACUUAACAUGUUGGUUAGUUUCUACCUUGGUCUACUUCACUUUUUCCUCAUGUUAAAAAUAUACAUGUGGUAGACUAUGGAUUAGAUUAUGAAACGUGUUUUCUCUAUACAUAGCCUUUUAGUUCUGAUACUGAAGAUUUGGUUUAAUCCAAAACAAAAAAAAAAAUUAAAAAUUUUUAAAAAAUUAUCCAUGAACUUGCAAUGUUUUCCUUGUUUAAAAUGUAACAAUUUGGUGGUGAUAGGCUCCAUUUUACAUUAUUAAAUAAAACUAGCAAUGAGAAGUAGGAGAUGGCCCAUGCUGUAAUAUUUUUUUGACAUUGAAAUUCUUUAUUGGCCAUUGGUUGUGAAUUAAAAAGCAAAAACUAUCUUAGAUAAUUGGGAAGUUAGGGGGGGGGACUAGGAUGAGAAAUUUUCCAUGAUAGUGAACCUUACUUCCAUAUGUCAUGAAGUCACCUCUGUGGCCUGGAAAAGACCCUGGAAUGGAAAAACAAAAUGUUUAAAAUCACUUUGCACCUAUCUCAUGUGCUGUCAUAUAUUUAAUAUGGUGCUGUGCAGGAAAUUGUGUUCUCUGAUCAUCUAAAGCAGUUUUUCUAAAGCAGUGGUUCCCUAGAGUUUUCCAACUCUAUGAAAAUUAAAUCAGCAAAGACUUUUUUUUUUAGACUGCUGAAUUUCAAAAGCCUUUACACAUCCCAAGUCACUUUCCAUAAUAUCUUAAGUAUUGUUUAAAUUUAAAAUAAAAAAAUUUUUGGAAGAAAAGUUAUUGCUUUGAGAGCUUAAAUGACAGCUUCCUUAAAAUCAGAUGGAAAAACAAAAUUAAAUUCAAAGUCAUUGUAUUAGCUGUGUUAGUUAGAUUUGGAAAUUGUGGCAUAAGGCUUAAAUUUGUAUUUAUCAAAUGUGAACUGUAGUAGUGUGAUGCUGCUUUGUAUAUACUGUAAGUGCUACACAUAGUCUCAGCACUGAAAAUGUAUUGAUACCUCUCAAAUGAGUUCAACUUGAAGUGUAGGUGUUUGAUAUGCCUCAGAAAUGUGUGUGUCUGAGAAUCUGUUAAUGUUUGAAAUUGAAGAUACUUCCUGUUUUUGUUUCAUUUAAUUUAAAAUUUAAUUUUUACUACUGUUAAUUUGUCAAUAUGUUCUGUGGAUACAGUGGGGUUGCUGGUGACAACUAAGAUGUUAACCUCAUUUGUUUUGGCUAUAUGUAUCAUUAGCUAUUAUUGGAGUCGAUUGUAUUUCUUUUUAAAAAGUGAUGUUUAAGCUUUGUUUUUGUUGUAUAAAUCUUUUUGCUAUUGAUUAAAUGAAGGAAUGUAUCUUUUUGAAGAGAUUUAUAUUCUGUAAAUAAAAACUGGUUGUAACAAUAAAGCUAGGUUCUAACUUCCAUGUCUGUACAAAUAUAUUAUAGAUUUCAAGCUUGAAGGAGUCUCAGAGGCCAUCUAGUCUAAUCCCUUCAAUUUAUAGGUGCAAAGAGGCUAGUCUUAGACUUGCCCAUGGUGACAGCUAGUGUCAAAGAAAGGAUUUGAAUGUAGGUCUUUGGGACAGGGCUUCUGAUCUGACACACUAUUCACUAUACUAUAUACUAUGUAUUCUUAUCCUAAUAAAAAAGCUUCCUAAUUGAAAUCACGC
rnacentral:lncRNA from 1 species